rnacentral:rRNA from 1 species
CCUACGGGGGGCAGCAGUGAGGAAUAUUUGUCAAUGGACGAGAGUCUGAACCAGCCAAGUAGCGUGAAGGAUGACUGCCCUAUGGGUUGUAAACUUCUUUUAUAUGGGAAUAAAACGUUCCACGUGUGGGAUUUUGUAUGUACCAUAUGAAUAAGGAUCGGCUAACUCCGUGCCAGCAGCCGCGGUAAUACGGAGGAUCCGAGCGUUAUCCGGAUUUAUUGGGUUUAAAGGGAGCGUAGGUGGAUUGUUAAGUCAGUUGUGAAAGUUUGCGGCUCAACCGUAAAAUUGCAGGUGAAACUGGCAGUCUUGAGUACAGUAGAGGUAGGCGGAAUUCGUGGUGUAGCGGUGAAAUGCUUAGAUAUCACGAAGAACUCCGAUUGCGAAGGCAGUUCACUGGACUGCAACUGACACUGAGGCUCGAAAGUGUGGGUAUCAAACAGGAUUAGAUACCCGGGUAGUC